rnacentral:rRNA from 1 species
AAAAGUGUAAAAUAAAAUUUUAGGUUAUUAGUAGUUAAGUUCUUGAAAAUCAAUAGAGAUGGCGGUACUUUAGUCUAUUCAGAGGAAUCUGCCCUAUAAUUGAUAGUCCACGAAUUUAAUUACUUAUAUUUUAAAUUUGCAUAUCGCUGUAGAUUGAAUAUUUCUUUUGAAUUGUAAUAUUCAAGAUUUUUAGGUAAAGUAAAUCAGGUCAAGAUGUAGUUUAUAGAUAAGAAGAGGUGGAUUACAUUAUAUAAAAUAUUUGGAGGAGUUUUGUAAUAUAUUCUGAAAAAUGGAUUUGAAAGUAAUUGUUUAUAAAAAUUUGAGUAAUGAUUUUAGCUCUAAAGU